rnacentral:rRNA from 1 species
GGCUCAUCACAUCCUGGGACUGAAAUAGGCCCCAAGGGUUAGGUUGUUCACCUAUUAAAGUGGUACGUGAGCUGGGUUUAGAACGUCGUGAGACAGUUCGGUCCCUAUCUACUAUUUGAUUUGAAAAUUUUCGAUUGUUAUUCUUCCUAGUACGAGAGGACUGGGGGGAUAUUAUCUCUGGUUGCACAGCUGUUAU